GGGGCCUUAGCUCAGUUGGUAGAGCACCGCCAUUGCAAGGCGGGUGUCAGGGGUUCGAUUCCCCUAGGCUCCA
rnacentral:tRNA from 2 species